rnacentral:rRNA from 1 species
UUAUACCGCGAAACUGCGAAUGGCUCAUUAAAUCAGUUAUCGUUUAUUUGAUAGUACCUUACUACAUGGAUAACCGUGGUAAUUCUAGAGCUAAUACAUGCUAAAAAUCCCGACUUCGGAAGGGAUGUAUUUAUUAGAUUAAAAACCAAUGCCCUUCGGGGCUCUCUGGUGAUUCAUAAUAACUUCUCGAAUCGCACGGCCUUGCGCCGGCGAUGGUUCAUUCAAAUUUCUGCCCUAUCAACUUUCGACGGCUGGGUCUUGGCCAGCCGUGGUGACAACGGGUAACGGAGGGUUAGGGCUCGACCCCGGAGAAGGAGCCUGAGAAACGGCUACUACAUCCAAGGAAGGCAGCAGGCGCGCAAAUUACCCAAUCCCGACACGGGGAGGUAGUGACAAUAAAUACUGAUACAGGGCUCUUUCGGGUCUUGUAAUUGGAAUGAGUACAAUUUAAAUCCCUUAACGAGGAACAAUUGGAGGGCAAGUCUGGUGCCAGCAGCCGCGGUAAUUCCAGCUCCAAUAGCGUAUAUUAAAGUUGUUGAGGUUAAAAAGCUCGUAGUUGAACCUUGGGCCUAGCCGGCCGGUCCGCCUCACCGCGUGCACUGGCUCGGCUGGGUCUUUCCUUCUGGAGAACCGCAUGCCCUUCACUGGGUGUGCCGGGGAACCAGGACUUUUACUCUGAACAAAUUAGAUCGCUUAAAGAAGGCCUAUGCUCGAAUACAUUAGCAUGGAAUAAUAGAAUAGGACGUGUGGUUCUAUUUUGUUGGUUUCUAGGACCGCCGUAAUGAUUAAUAGGGACAGUCGGGGGCAUCAGUAUUCAAUUGUCAGAGGUGAAAUUCUUGGAUUUAUUGAAGACUAACUACUGCGAAAGCAUUUGCCAAGGAUGUUUUCAUUAAUCAGGAACGAAAGUUAGGGGAUCGAAGACGAUCAGAUACCGUCGUAGUCUUAACCAUAAACUAUGCCGAUUAGGGAUCGGACGGCGUUAUUUUUUGACCCGUUCGGCACCUUACGAUAAAUCAAAAUG